rnacentral:rRNA from 1 species
ACGGGUGAGUAACACGUGGGCAACCUGCCUGUAAGACUGGGAUAACUUCGGGAAACCGAAGCUAAUACCGGAUAGGAUCUUCUCCUUCAUGGGAGAUGAUUGAAAGAUGGUUUCGGCUAUCACUUACAGAUGGGCCCGCGGUGCAUUAGCUAGUUGGUGAGGUAACGGCUCACCAAGGCAACGAUGCAUAGCCGACCUGAGAGGGUGAUCGGCCACACUGGGACUGAGACACGGCCCAGACUCCUACGGGAGGCAGCAGUAGGGUAUCUUCCGCAAUGGACGAAAGUCUGACGGAGCAACGCCGCGUGAGUGAUGAAGGCUUUCGGGUCGUAAAACUCUGUUGUUAGGGAAGAACAAGUACGAGAGUAACUGCUCGUACCUUGACGGUACCUAACCAGAAAGCCACGGCUAACUACGUGCCAGCAGCCGCGGUAAUACGUAGGUGGCAAGCGUUAUCCGGAAUUAUUGGGCGUAAAGCGCGCGCAGGCGGUUUCUUAAGUCUGAUGUGAAAGCCCACGGCUCAACCGUGGAGGGUCAUUGGAAACUGGGAAACUUGAGUGCAGAAGAGAAAAGCGGAAUU